GACGAACGCUGGCGGCGUGCUUAACACAUGCAAGUCGAACGGAAAGGCCCUGCUUUUGUGGGGUGCUCGAGUGGCGAACGGGUGAGUAACACGUGAGUAACCUGCCCUUGACUUUGGGAUAACUUCAGGAAACUGGGGCUAAUACCGGAUAGGAGCUCCUGCUGCAUGGUGGGGGUUGGAAAGUUUCGGCGGUUGGGGAUGGACUCGCGGCUUAUCAGCUUGUUGGUGGGGUAGUGGCUUACCAAGGCUUUGACGGGUAGCCGGCCUGAGAGGGUGACCGGCAACAUUGGGACUGAGAUACGGCCCAGAAUCCUACGGGAGGCAGCAGUGGGGAAUAUUGCACAAUGGGCGGAAGCGUGAUGCAGCAACGCCGCGUGCGGGAUGACGGCCUUCGGGUUGUAAACCGCUUUAGACUGUGACGAAGCGUGAGUGACGGUAAUGGGUAAAGAAGCACCGGCUAACUACGUG
rnacentral:rRNA from 1 species